rnacentral:lncRNA from 1 species
CGUACAAUCAGUUGCAGAUGAUGGAGCAGCUGGUCAGUGUUCCUGCAUGGUCAUUACAUGUUCAUUCAACUACAGUAGAUCAAAGUUUCAGUGAAAAGAAUUGGCAAGCACUAUAAUUUUCUCGAGAAUAGUCAUCUAGAUCAAUUUCUCUGCGAGCCUGCUUUUGGGAAUAACGGAUCCCCGAAAAGCGGAUUCGACACUAAAUCGAACCCCUAAAUCAAUGCGGAAGACGAAGCCCGGGAAAAACACGUAUUACCGAUCGUAAAGCACACCAUGGAUUCAAGCGUACCUUGUUAGCCACAGAUUAGACACCAAUGCCGAAGAUCGAGGAAGAAAUUCUGAUCCGAUGAUGUCAAUUCGCCUUGAAAGGGAAACGGCAUCGCCUUAAGCGUACUGUUCUUUUUUGGAGGGAGAGAGGGAGAGGAACGUACGUGCGUUAUUCCAACGAGUGUCUUCCUCUCUCUCUCUUUCUCCUUUUAUACAUUCCCUUAUCAACAGGCCCUAAUUCCGUGGGCCGGGCUUUUAGGCCCAACAUGGGCGGACGGGCCAUAAGCCCAUCACUAAUAAAACCAUCAUCUCCCACUCGCACAUGGUGGGCUGAAAAGGAUUCUCUUUACCUCUCUUCAACAUUCAUACCGGUGAAUAAUCCGUGCGACCAGCAUACUUUGAAAGCUCAUUGCCAUACAUCUGUUAGGAAUAUAUAGCAACUCAUAAUGGGCAUCACAUCCUGAGUAGAUUUAGUAUGCAGUACCCUAGAUCGAUCGAUCACAUUUAUAUCUCUCUUGAUCUCUUUUAAACAAUGAUAUAUAUAUUGUAUUCACAAUUAUGAUUAUCACAAAGACAGUCAUAAUUGGUUAACCAGUGAAUACAAAAACUACAAUGUGAUUCUCCAAAUUCGAUCUUCCUCUUCCCUUCAAACUCUCAUUUUCAGUUCGGCUUGCUUUUCUAGAAAUGUCCCAUUAGAUCGAAUCAACUCAUGACCAUUGGCAACAUCCUAAGAUAGCAAACACUAAAUAGAAAUCUUGAGAAUAAGUAAGAGUCAUGAGGGGACUAAAAAAUUGAGGAACUCUUUUCCUCAAGAGUCUCACACGACAUAAAAAAUUGAGAUCAAACUUUUGCCACUCUUAUUGGUCGUUUCAUGCAUACGUAGUAUGAAAUACGUAUUACGGUAUUAAUUCCUUUUCCAUGGAGCGUAUGUCUACACUUUCAACACCGUAUAGAUGAUAGUCCAAACAUACCCAAUGUCUAACUUGAGUUCACGUAUCUACUCAUUCACAAAAUUCAUCAGAACUCACAUAUGGCAUCAUAGACAGAUAAAGUAAAAUAUGUGGGGUAUUUUACUUUCGGACAUAGUAAGUAUUAUGUCCUCAUCUUAACACCCAGUUAAGGUGACAUACGUAUUUUAAGCUUGAGCUCUCGAUUAUCACAUAGAUAAUAAGCUUAAAAAAAGUCUCAUCUCUAUUUAUCACACGGUAAAUAGAGGCGAUUACCCGUGUGAGUGGGCUAAUCUUAUAUCUGUCCGACAUACUUCCUCAACUUAAAAUAAUGCACUGAGCAUUAAGAUGCAUAAAGAUCAAACAAAGAUUUAUAGGCAUUAAUGAUGAAAAAUACAAAUUCAUCAAAUGUGAACACUUCAAGGAAAUUACAAUCCAGUACAUCGGACUCUAUGCAAUCCUAGAGAUUUCAUAUGGCCACAAACACAUCUCCAGGUAUUGGCUUUAUCAUAGGAUCUGCUACCAUUCUAUGCGUAGUAUGUACUCUAAGUUCACAUCUUUUCGUGCAAUCAUAUCAUUGACAAAAGUAUACUUGGUAUCUAUAUGUUUGGUCUUGCCAUGAUAUUUUGGAUAUUUGGUGUACGUUUUUGCUGCUUGGCUAUCACAGUUAACCAACAAUGAAUCUGCAGCACUUCAAAUAACACCUAAAUGAUCCAAUAAUCUCUUAAGCCAAACAUCUUCUUUUAUUGCUGCUGAUAAUGCCACGAACUUAAUUUCCAUCGUGGACAAGGCUAUACACUUUUGUUUCUUACUGCUCCAACAUAUGGUGCCAUUAUUCGGUAAGAAAACAAAUCCAGAGGUAAAUUUUCUUUCAUUUAAAUCUCCUCCCCAAUCAACAUCAGAAUAGCCUUAGAGUCGCAGAUCCUUUCCUUAAUAACUCAACGUAUAAUCAGCAGUCCUCUUUAGAUACCUUAGUAUUCCUUUAACAGCUUUCCAACGUGCUUGACCUGGAUUGGAUUGGUAUCUGCUCACCAUUCCAACUGCAUAACAUAUGUUAGGUCUUGUACACUUCAUAGCGUACAUCAAGCUCCCAACAGCACUAGCAUAAGGAACAUAUUUCGUUUGUUCCGUCUCUUGUGGAGUCCUUGGACACAGUCUAUGGCUCAAUCCUUCACCUUUUGCAAUAGGAGUGUCUAUGAGUUUAAAAACCCAUAUCCUUCAAUUCAAAAUUGGAAGACAACCAACUUUUGACAGUAUUGACAAGCUCCAUAUUUCUUCCGGCAAUUAGUAUAUCAUCAACAUAUAAUGAUAUGAUCACAAAUAGACCUUUGGAUCUUUUGAUAUAUAUACAAUGAUCCUCAUCUAUCAUUGUAAAAUCAUAUGCCAUUAUGGCAUUAUGAAAUCGUAUAUACCAUUGUCUUGACGACUGCUUAAGGCCAUAUAUCGACCUCAAAAGUCGACAUACCUUUUUCUUCUUGGCCUUUCACUAUGAAACCAGCAGGUUGUUCCAUAUAUGUUCCUUCCUCUAAUUCUUCAUUGAGGAAAGCAGUCUUUUACAUCCAUUUGAUGUAACUCAAGAUCCAUACUAGCCACUAUUGCCAGAAUAAUGCAAAUCGAGGUAAAUCCCACUACAGGAGAAAAUGUAUCUUCAUCAUCAAUUCCUUCUUGUUGAUUAUACCCCUUCGCCACAAGGCAAGCCUUAUGCCUUUCUAUCGAGCCAUCAGCCUUUCGCUUUAUUUUGAGAACCCACUUGUUCCCAAUAGCUCUGCGUCCCUUUUGGAAGAUCAACCAGUUCUCAGACUUGGUUUGACUUCAUUGACUCCAUCUCCUCUUUCAUUGCAUAAAUCCAUUUUUCCUUACUAGGGCAUUUUAGAGCCUCAUUAAUAUUUCUUGGCUCAUCCUCAUUUUGUGGAGCAACCAUAAAAGUUUUCCCUUCAAUGUCAAAACGUCGACGGGGAAUACUUUGGCAACUUGUUCGCUAUAUGGGAGAAUGUACAUUUAGCACAUCAUUCCCUAUUAUGCUCCCACUCGGAUUAGAUAAUGACGAUAUCAUCUCAUCAUGUGGUUGUAAUUGAGAAUGAGUUGAAUUCAAUUCAUCACUUCUCAUAUUACUCCCACUUGGACGAACUUCACUAACAUCAUUAUCCUGAUCCGAGGUCUCAAAUAGGAAACAAUCUUCCCAUAUUUUGCCCUUCUUAGGAAAUUUAUCCUCUAAGAAUGUGAUAUCCCGUGAUUCAAAUUCAGUUAUACUCCCAUUUUCUUGCUCACCUAUGAACACAUACCCUUUCGAGUGUUCGGAGUAUCUCAUUAAAAUACUCUACUUUCCUUUAGGACCCAAUUUCCCAAACUUGUGAGAGGACUCAUGAGUAUAGGCAGUACAACCCCAUGGCUUAAUAAAACUUAAGUUCGGUUUUCUACUUGUCCAUAACUCAUAUGGAGUGAAACUAACUGAUUUGGAAGGCACCCGGUUAAGUAUAUAGGCAGUAGUUAACAACGCAUCACUCCAAAAAGUGAUAUGUAAGUUAGCAUGCGUCAUCAUUGACCUAACCAUUUCCAGUAGGGUUCUGUUUCUUCUCUCUGCAACACCAUUUUGUUGAGGAGUAUAUGGAAUAGACAACUGUAUUUCUAUUCAUUUUCAUCACAUUAUUUUCUGAACUCAUCAGAUAAAUAUUCUCGACCUCGAUCGGAUAUUAAUACUUUUAUUUUCUUGUCUAAUUAAUUUUCUACCAAGUUCAUUAAACCUUUUGAAACAACUUAUUGCUUCAGAUUUAUGAGAAAUCAAAUAGACAUAUCCGAAUCGAGUAUAAUUAUCUAUAAAAGUGAUGAAGUAAACAGCCCCAUGCCUUCCUCUUACAUUCAUUGAACCAUAGACGUCAUAAUGGAUUAAAUGUAGAGGAAAUUCAGCUCUUUUACCUUUUCUAAAUGGUUUCCUUGUCGUUUUCCCUACUAGGCAAUGCUCAUAUAUGGGCAAAUCGACUUUUUCAAUGUUGCCCAACAAGCCCUCUUUGGCUAGUCUAUUCAUACGAUGUUGGCCAAUGUGGCCAAGUCUAGCAUGCCACAUAAUCACAUAAUUAUCAUAUGAAGUAGGAGACGUGAAACAAGGGAAUAACAAACAUUGACAUCGCCACAGUCAACAUUUAAUAAAACCAUCCAGAAAGUGACCACAAUCAUAGUAGUUUGUAUCCAAAUACAAAUCUAUACCGUUAUUACGGAAGUUCACACUAAAACCAAGCUUAGCCAACAUCAAAACAAACACUUAAAUUUCGACGAAUCUCCUAGAGCAUAUAGAACAUCAUGUAGGAACAAGGUGCGUCCACCACGCAUGUUCAAUUGGUAGGUGUCAAUCCCUUUAACUUCAUCUCUAGAGUUAUUUCCUACAUAGAUCCACUUAGUUCCAGUUGGUACUCGUCAGAAUUCCACGAAGGAUCCUCUAUCCUUCGCUAUAUCGUCUGUUGCUCUUGAAUCUACAGUCCACAAAGGAUUAGAUUCGGUCUAUAAAGAAGAACUUGACACAAAAGCAAAGUUCUCAAAUGUACAAGAGGUGUAUACCUUCUUUGGCUCACGACAGUUGCGAGCAUAGUGACCAUUCUUGUCACAAUUGUAACACCUCACCCUUGACAUUUUCUUCACUUGAGGACGUUUUCCUCUCUUGUGUUGGUUAACUCUUGAUCUCUUGCAAUAAGGACUUGAUCCUUUGCAUUCCCACAUAUUGAACGAAUCAAUACGCUUGUGCUUAGAGCUCAAAGUCCUUUCUGAGCUAGAACCAGCAUUGCAAAUAUCUAUUUUUGGCUCACAUGCCGUUAAACGGUCCUCUACUAGCUCAAGGUGGCGCACAACAUCCUCAAGAUCUUCCAUAACAUAGUCAAGAGCUUCUAGUGCUUCUUGCUUUUCCAGCACAUAUUGAAUCUUCAUAUUCAAUAUUUCACAAUUGUUGCUGUUCACAUCAGCAAUUACGUUCUUAGUUGCUGAACCCAUCAAUCUGAACACAUCAGACAUAUAUGCACGAAUAAUUAAUGCCUAUCAUUUAUGCAUCCACUUUGCAUAGACCCAUCAUAUCAAUGAAUAAUUUCAAGUAAGGUUUCAGAAUCAAAAGGUCACUACGUUUCCAAUCAUCCUCCAAAAAUCCUAACUUAAAACUAUUAUUAAUAUAAUUGUCUUAUGCAAAAUAAAUUCUAUGAAGUUACAAAAACUUCUAUGAACUACCCACAGCUAAGUACCCACAGCAAUCAGCAAUAACAGAAAGCAACAGAUAAUUGACAUCUAAUAAAAUAAUAAUGCUUUCAACUAAUUCAACAAUCCAUUACACUAAAUAAUAUAUCCAAAAAGAAAUAUCAACAUAGCAAGAGAUAUUCAACACUAAAAAAAAAUAUCUCAAACUAAUCUAAGAAAUAAAUAGGGAAAGUCCCUUCUAAUCUAUCAGUCAAAGUAUCUGAGAAAACUGAAGGCACAUUUGCCAACCAUGGGAAAACUUUUGGAGAGCUUCCAUGUCGCCACCAAGGCGCAUUUACUCUACGCCAUGUGGCGCUCAAUCUAAGGGUUGAAGUUUUGGCCAACUCAAUCCUAUAGUACUCUCUUAUAAAAGCUUCCACUAGCCUCCUAUAAUCCGGGACCACGUUGACCUCCUAUAGCCGAUCUAACACUGCUUGCCAUUCAGGUGGAAGAGUGUUCAUCAAAGCCGGCACCUUCUCAAAAUCCGGCAUAAGAUAACCAUUCUAGAUGAUUUCCUGUAUCAUCUGAUUGACCCUGACCAUGUGUGAUACUAAAUCACCAUCAAGCCACCGAUAAUCAGCUAACUCUUUCAUCAGUUUUUUCAGUCUAGCUCUUCUUUCGUCCGUUCUCGGGAUUGCAGGUAUCCGUGCAUAACGCAUCAUAGUUCCUGCAACAAAUGCAGAACCUAAAAAUGGAUCAUUUAUAAUCCACAAUAAACAAAAUGGAAAAUACAUAAUUUUCCAUGAUUCAUGCAACAAAUGCAGAAUAAAAAUGGAUUACCUCUGACCCACACAAACAUAAUUGAAAAAAAAAACAAAUUCCUUUUUUUUUCUUUUUUUUUUUUUUUUUUUUCGGGUCAACGGUCAAAGUCAACGGUCAACGGUCGCCGGUCGUCGGACCAGUCGGACGAACCGACCGCACGUGCCGUGUGCGUGCGUGGGCUGACGUCACGCAGACGUCAGUCGAAACGUGCCGCGCGCGUGUCGGGUGUCCGCGGUUCGAGUCGGGUCGGGUCGCCGGCCGGUGACCGCUCGGCCAACCGUCGUCAUGAUGACGUCAUCGAUGACGUCACCCCAGUGGUUACUGACCGUUGGGUGACGUCAUGCUGACGUCAGCACGCGUUGGUCCGCGCGAUCGGCGCAUGCCGAUUCACUGGCGGCGUCACGCACGUGCCGGUUCGCCGACCGACGCGUGGGACGUACGCGCUGGCCGAUGCUAGCGCUUCGGGCGCGUGCGGCGUUGCUUGGCGGCGCACGACAUGUCGCCGGACUCGCCUCGACGACCUCUUUCACCCAGUUCCUUCAGAAAUUGAUUUUGACUUACGGAAACUCAGAAAAAUGGGCGAACAGCGCUCGGGUGUUGGGAUUUCUCGCCCGAUCCGUACGGCUGAAUUACUUUCGCGAAAAAUCAAUCAAAAAACAUCAAACAGGUCAGGAAAACGUGAACUAGGGCUCUGAUACCAAUGUUGGGAAUAACGGAUCCCCGAAAAGCGGAUUCGACACUAAAUCGAACCCCUAAAUCAAUGCGGAAGACGAAACCCAGGAAAAAAACGUAUCACCGAUCGUAAAGCACACCACGGAUUCAAGCGUACCUUGUUAGCCACAGAUUAGACACCAAUGCCGAAGAUCAAGGAAGAAAUUCUGAUCCGAUGAUGUCAAUUCACCUUGAAAGGGAAAUGGCGUCGCCUUAAGCAUACUGUUCUUUUUUGGAGGGAGAGAGGGAGAGGAACGUAUGUGCGUUAUUCCAACGGGUGUCUUCCUCUCUCUCUCUUUCUCCUUUUAUACGUUCCCUUAUCAACGGGCCCUAAUUCCGUGGGCCGGUCUUUUAGGCCCAACAUGGGUGGACGGGCCAUAAGCCCAUCACUAAUAAAACCAUCACCUGCCAAUGGCUUUCGAGUAAAAGUAGCAGAUUGGAAAGUGUGAACAGAGAGACAUUCAAACUCGAAAACCCUCUAUAUGUGCUUGCUCUCUUCUCUUCUUUUCCAUUUUCUCUUGGGCACUUUGUGUAAGAAUCUCAGAAUGUAAAAGAUUGCUGUACAUUUACUUGCUUCAUCUUAUUAAUAAGCAGUUAG